rnacentral:rRNA from 1 species
CCUACGGGAGGCUGCAGUGGGGAAUAUUGGACAAUGGGGGGAACCCUGAUCCAGCGACGCCGCGUGAGUGAAGAAGUAUUUCGGUAUGUAAAGCUCUAUCAGCCGGGAAGAAAGAAAUGACGGUACCUGACUAAGAAGCUCCGGCUAACUACGUGACAGCAGCCGCGGUAACAAGUAGGGGGCAAGCGUUAUCCGGAUUUACUGGGGGUAAAGGGAGCGGAGACGGCGAUGCAAGUCUGAUGUGAAAGGCGGGGGGCCAACCUCCGGACUGCUUUGGAAACUGUAUGGCUGGAGUGCAGGAGAGGUAAGUGGAAUGCCUAGUGUAGCGGUGAAAUGCGUAGAUAUUAGGAGGAACACCAGUGGCGAAGGCGGCUUACUGGACUGUAACUGACGUUGAGGCUCGAAAGCGUGGGGAGCAAACAGGAUUAGAUACCCCUGUAGUC